rnacentral:rRNA from 1 species
AGAGUUUGAUCCUGGCUGAGGACGAACGCUGGCGGCGUGCCUAAUACAUGCAAGUGGAACGCAUUUAUAACGACCGUAGCUUGCUACAACUGCUAUAAAUGAGUCGCGAACGGGUGAGUAACGCGUAGGUAACCUACCUUUAAGCGGGGGAUAACUAUUGGAAACGAUAGCUAAUACCGCAUAAAAUGAGCUAACCCAUGUUAGCUUUUUAAAAGGUGCAACAGCAUCACUUAAAGAUGGACCUGCGUUGUAUUAGCUAGUUGGUAAGGUAACGGCUUACCAAGGCUUCGAUACAUAGCCGACCUGAGAGGGUGAUCGGCCACACUGGGACUGAGACACGGCCCAGACUCCUACGGGAGGCAGCAGUAGGGAAUCUUCGGCAAUGGGGGGAACCCUGACCGAGCAACGCCGCGUGAGUGAAGAAGGUUUUCGGAUCGUAAAGCUCUGUUAUAAGCGAAGAACAGGAGUAAGAGUGGAAAGUUUACUCUAUGACGGUAGCUUAUCAGAAAGGGACGGCUAACUACGUGCCAGCAGCCGCGGUAAUACGUAGGUCCCGAGCGUUGUCCGGAUUUAUGGGGCGUAAAGCGAGCGCAGGUGGGUUAAUAAGUCUGAAGUAAAAGGCAGUGGCUCAAACAUUGUACGCUUGGGAAACUGUUAAACUUGAAGUGCAAAAGGGGAGAGUGGAAUUCCAUGUGUAGCGGUGAAAUGCGUAGAUAUAUGGAGGAACACCGGUGGCGAAAGCGGCUCUCUGGUCUGUAACUGACACUGAGGCUCGAAAGCGUGGGUAGCGAACAGAAUUAGAUACCCUGGUAGUCCAACGCCGUAAACGAUGAGUGCUAGGUGUUGGGUCCUUUCCGGGACUCAGUGCCGCAGCUAACGCAUUAAGCACUCCGCCUGGGGAGUACGACCGCAAGGUUGAAACUCAAAGGAAUUGACGGGGGCCCGCACAGGCGGUGGAGCAUGUGGUUUAAUUCGAAGCAACGCGAAGAACCUUACCAGGUCUUGACAUCCCGGUGCCGGUUCUAGAGAUAGAACUUUUCUUAGGAACACUGGAGACAGGUGGUGCAUGGUUGUCGUCAGCUCGUGUCGUGAGAUGUUGGGUUAAGUCCCGCAACGAGCGCAACCCCUAUUGUUAGUUGCCAUCAUUAAGUUGGGCACUCUAGCGAGACUGCCGGUAAUAAACCGGAGGAAGGUGGGGAUGACGUCAAAUCAUCAUGCCCCUUAUGACCUGGGCUACACACGUGCUACAAUGGUCGGUACAACGAGUUGCGAGCUGGUGACAGUAAGCUAAUCUCUUAAAGCCGAUCUCAGUUCGGAUUGUAGGCUGCAACUCGCCUACAUGAAGUCGGAAUCGCUAGUAAUCGCGGAUCAGCACGCCGCGGUGAAUACGUUCCCGGGCCUUGUACACACCGCCCGU